rnacentral:rRNA from 1 species
AUGACUCAGAUUGAACGCUGGCGGCAGGCCUAACACAUGCAAGUCGAGCGGUAACACAGAGGAGCUUGCUCCUUGGGUGACGAGCGGCGGACGGGUGAGUAAUGCCUGGGGAUCUGCCCGAUAGAGGGGGAUAACUACGGGAAACUGUAGCUAAUACCGCAUAAUGUCUACGGACCAAAGUGGGGGCUCUUCGGACCUCAUGCUAUCGGAUGAACCCAGGUGGGAUUAGCUAGUUGGUGAGGUAAUGGCUCACCAAGGCGACGAUCUCUAACUGGUUUGAGAGAAUGACCAGUCACACUGGAACUGAGACACGGUCCAGACUCCUACGGGAGGCAGCAGUGGGGAAUAUUGCACAAUGGGCGCAAGCCUGAUGCAGCCAUGCCGCGUGUGUGAAGAAGGCCUUCGGGUUGUAAAGCACUUUCAGCGGGGAGGAAGGGUCACUAGUUAAUACCUAGUGGCAUUGACGUUACUCGCAGAAGAAGCACCGGCUAACUCCGUGCCAGCAGCCGCGGUAAUACGGAGGGUGCAAGCGUUAAUCGGAAUUACUGGGCGUAAAGCGCACGCAGGCGGUUUGUUAAGUCAGAUGUGAAAUCCCCGAGCUCAACUUGGGAACUGCAUUUGAAACUGGCAAGCUAGAGUCUUGUAGAGGGGGGUAGAAUUCCAGGUGUAGCGGUGAAAUGCGUAGAGAUCUGGAGGAAUACCGGUGGCGAAGGCGGCCCCCUGGACAAAGACUGACGCUCAGGUGCGAAAGCGUGGGGAGCAAACAGGAUAAGAUACCCUGGUAGUCCACGCUGUAAACGAUGUCGAUUANGAGGUUGUGCCCUUGAGGCGUGGCUUCCGGAGCUAACGCGUAAAUCGACCGC